rnacentral:rRNA from 1 species
AGCGAACGCUGGCGGCAGGCCUAACACAUGCAAGUCGAACGAACUCUUCGGAGUUAGUGGCGGACGGGUGAGUAACACGUGGGAACGUGCCUUUUGGUUCGGAAUAACUCAGGGAAACUUGUGCUAAUACCGAAUGUGCCCUUCGGGGGAAAGAUUUAUCGCCAUUAGAGCGGCCCGCGUCUGAUUAGCUAGUUGGUGAGGUAACGGCUCACCAAGGCGACGAUCAGUAGCUGGUCUGAGAGGAUGACCAGCCACACUGGGACUGAGACACGGCCCAGACUCCUACGGGAGGCAGCAGUGGGGUAUCUUGCGCAAUGGGCGAAAGCCUGACGCAGCCAUGCCGCGUGAAUGAUGAAGGUCUUAGGAUUGUAAAAUUCUUUCACCGGGGACGAUAAUGACGGUACCCGGAGAAGAAGCCCCGGCUAACUUCGUG